rnacentral:rRNA from 1 species
CCUACGUGUGGCAGCAGUGAGGAAUAUUGGUCAAUGGGCGAGAGCCUGAACCAGCCAAGUCGCGUGAGGGAAGACGGUCCUAUGGAUUGUAAACCUCUUUUGCCGGGGAGCAAAAAGCGGUACGCGUACCGCAUCGAGAGUACCCGGAGAAAAAGCAUCGGCUAACUCCGUGCCAGCAGCCGCGGUAAUACGGAGGAUGCGAGCGUUAUCCGGAUUUAUGGGGGUUAAAGGGUGCGAGGGGGGCGAGUUAAGUCAGCGGUAAAAUUUCGGGGCUCAACCCCGACAAGCCGUUGAAACUGGCUUGCUAGAGUGGGCGAGAGGGAUGCGGAAUGCGUGGUGUAGCGGUGAAAUGCGUAGAGAUCACGCAGAAGUCCGAUUGCGAAGGCAGCAUACCGGCGCCCGACUGACGCUCAGGCGCGAAAGCGUGGGUAUCGAACAGGAUUAGAUACCCGGGUAGUC